CCUACGGGAGGCAGCAGUGGGGAAUAUUGCACAAUGGGGGAAACCCUGAUGCAGCAACGCCGCGUGGGUGAAGGAGCGUUUCGGCGCGUAAAGCCCUGUCAGCGGGGAAGAAGAAAGACGGUACCCGACCAAGAAGCCCCGGCUAACUACGUGCCAGCAGCCGCGGUAAUACGUAGGGGGCGAGCGUUAUCCGGAAUUACUGGGUGUAAAGGGAGCGUAGACGGCGAGGUAAGCCUGAAGUGGAAGCCCGCGGCCCAACCGCGGAACUGCUUUGGGAACUGUUUUGCUGGAGUAUGGGAGGGGUAAGCGGAAUUCCUGGUGUAGCGGUGAAAUGCGUAGAUAUAUGGAAGAACACCAGUGGCGAAAGCGGCUCUCUGGUCUGUAACUGACGCUGAGGUUCGAAAGCGUGGGUAGCAAACAGGAUUAGAUACCCCAGUAGUC
rnacentral:rRNA from 1 species